UCACUCAAAGCCUUCAUUCGUAACAGCUAGUACUGAGAUUGAAGGAAUCCGUUCGUGUGGACUGAGUAGAGGUGUUGUCAUCGUUCAACGUUCGUGAUCGCCACAAGAGGUAAGGAUUCUAUCACUGAUCAUGCCCAUUCGUAAGGAUCAUUAAAGGAGAAAUUUUAAAUUCCGCUGCGUUUUGGAUCGCCAUUCUCCUUCAGUUUCUUUCUUC
rnacentral:lncRNA from 1 species